UGAUCCACUCGCCUGAAGAGUUCCGGACCUCAGAACAGGCACUCACGUUCUCAAAGUGCAGAUCACGGUGUCCUGUCAUUCUCCAGCACAAAAUGUUCUUCGAGACCAGCAUCUGUCUUGAGAACCCCCACGCUUGCCAGGCAAAUGAAUUACCAGCGCGUAAGCAAAGCUCGACCUGAUUGUUGCUGCCGUGUACAACCACGCAGGAUGUUCAGCAGCUGGACCCGCUGCUUUUCCUUAUUUGCUUGGUCAGAAGAAAGGCAGCGGAGUGACAAAGCAGUGCUGUCUUACAGCACCGAUGUCUCAUGCGUGUAGCACGGCGCUUCCCGGGAUGACGGGAAGGUUCCCUCGGCGAGCUUCUGCUGACACCUGCUGCCAGAGCCGAGCCAGCACAGCCCGGCGGGCGCGGCGCCGGCCCUGCCGCGGGACUCCGGAGCGCAGCUUCGGCUUCGGACUGCCGGCGCUGGAUGGGAAGAGAACACUGCUGGGCUGCAUGCUGCCUCUGAGGACCAGGAGAAGCGGAGGCCUGUGACCAACACCCCUCCGGAAUUCCACAGCUGGAAACUUCUGCCAUUGCUCUUCUGAAGAAACAAGUGCCUUUGAAAAAUAAUUGCUUUGACCUGGGAAUGACCCAUUUCCUGAGGGUAAAUGACAAAGAAGAGACAGAAUAGCACUGGGUGAAGAUCAAACUGAAAUUUUUACAUCUUCCAUCCUGGGCCUGAAAUGAAUGCCUGCUACUUUGACUGUCAGUGCUUGGUUCUCAUCAACGAAGUGGCACGAGUUCAGGUAUGUCCUGUUGCUGACAAUUAAUCACUCUUCUGACCCAUUACAAAUAGACUUAACUUGGUAAUCAGUGUGAUCUUCAAUCCUACUUGCUUGACUGUGAUGUUGUUUGCCUGUGAAAAUAGCAUGGCUCUUGCCAUGGUCUCUGGUAGGACUCAUUGCUACACUCUGUAGGGUACUUACCAACCAGGCAGACACUGUAUUUCCUGAAUUUUCCUUUAAGACUGCUUAAAGAUUUAGUUACUUGUGUAAUCUGUAUUCAGCGCUACAACACAGAACUUCCUUAUCCUGUUUGCCAGAUACGGUGUAUAAAGCUUGUAAAUAAAGAUGCAUUUAA